UACAGAGGGGGCAAGCGUUGUUCGGAAUUACUGGGCGUAAAGGGCGCGUAGGCGGCCUGCUAAGUCGAACGUGAAAUCCCUGGGCUCAACCCAGGAACUGCGUCCGAUACUGGUUGGCUUGAAUCCGGGAGAGGGAUGUGGAAUUCCAGGUGUAGCGGUGAAAUGCAUAGAUAUCUGGAGGAACACCGGUGGCGAAGGCGGCAUCCUGGACCGACAUUGACGCUGAGGCGCGAAAGCUAGGGGAGCAAACGGG
rnacentral:rRNA from 1 species